rnacentral:rRNA from 1 species
AGCGGCGGAUGGGUGAGUAACACGUGGGGAACCUGCCCCUAAGUCUGGGAUACCAUUUGGAAACAGGUGCUAAUACCGGAUAAUAAAGCAGAUCACAUGAUCAGCUUUUGAAAGGCGGCGUAAGCUGUCGCUAAGGGAUGGCCCCGCGGUGCAUUAGCUAGUUGGUAAGGUAACGGCUUACCAAGGCGACGAUGCAUAGCCGAGUUGAGAGACUGAUCGGCCACAUUGGGACUGAGACACGGCCCAAACUCCUACGGGAGGCAGCAGUAGGGAAUCUUCCACAAUGGACGCAAGUCUGAUGGAGCAACGCCGCGUGAGUGAAGAAGGUUUUCGGAUCGUAAAGCUCUGUUGUUGGUGAAGAAGGAUAGAGGUAGUAACUGGCCUUUAUUUGACGGUAAUCAACCAGAAAGUCACGGCUAACUACGUGCCAGCAGCCGCGGUAAUACGUAGGUGGCAAGCGUUGUCCGGAUUUAUUGGGCGUAAAGCGAGCGCAGGCGGAAAAAUAAGUCUAAUGUGAAAGCCCUCGGCUUAACCGAGGAACUGCAUCGGAAACUGUUUUUCUUGAGUGCAGAAGAGGAGAGUGGAACUCCAUGUGUAGCGGUGGAAUGCGUAGAUAUAUGGAAGAACACCAGUGGCGAAGGCGGCUCUCUGGUCUGCAACUGACGCUGAGGCUCGAAAGCAUGGGUAGCGAACAGGAUUAGAUACCCUGGUAGUCCAUGCCGUAAACGAUGAGUGCUAAGUGU